rnacentral:rRNA from 1 species
AGUGGAGCGACGAACCUUUUAGGGGCAAAGCCGCGAACGGGUGAGUAACACGUGGGCAAUCUGCCCAGUUGACCGGGAUAACCCGAGGAAACUCGAGCUAAUACCGGAUGUGCCAUCCCCUCACAAGAGGGGCUGGUAAAGGGAGCUUCGGCUAUCCGCAAUUGGAGGAGCCUGCGGCGCAUUAGCUAGUUGGUGGGGUAAAGGCCUACCAAGGCGACGAUGCGUAGCUGGUCUGAGAGGACGAUCAGCCACACUGGAACUGAGACACGGUCCAGACUCCUACGGGAGGCAGCAGUGGGGAAUCUUGCACAAUGGGCGACAGCCUGAUGCAGCAAUGCCGCGUGAGGGAAGACGGCCUUCGGGUUGUAAACCUCUUUCAGUUGGGAAGAAGGUCGGACGGUGAAUAGCCGCGUCGACUGACGGUACCUUCAGAAGAAGCCCCGGCUAACUACGUGCCAGCAGCCGCGGUAAUACGUAGGGGGCAAGCGUUGUCCGGAAUCAUUGGGCGUAAAGCGCGUGUAGGCGGUUUCGUAAGUCUGCUGUGAAAGUCGGAGGCUCAACCUUCGAAUGCCAGUGGAUACUGCGAGACUUGAGUACGGAAGAGGAGAGUGGAAUUCCUGGUGUAGCGGUGAAAUGCGCAGAUAUCAGGAGGAACACCAACGGCGAAGGCAGCUCUCUGGGACGUUACUGACGCUGAGACGCGAAAGCGUGGGGAGCAAACAGGAUUAGAUACCCUGGUAGUCCACGCCGUAAACGAUGGUCACUAGAUGUGGGGGGGUGUCGACUCCCCCCGUGUCGUAGCUAACGCGUUAAGUGACCCGCCU